rnacentral:rRNA from 1 species
GCCUGGCCCUAAAUCUUGACGCUCUAUAUUACCUGAGCGUCCGCCCGAGAACUACGAGCACAAACGCUUAAAACUCUAAGGACUUGGCGGUGCCCCAAACCCACCUAGAGGAGCCUGUUCUGUAAUCGAUGAUCCACGAUAUUACCUGACCAUUCCUUGCACGAWUCAGCCUAUAUACCGCCGUCGCCAGCCCACCUUCCCUGACGGCCCAACAGUGGGCGCAAUAGCCUAACCCGCUAGCAAGACAGGUCAAGGUAUAGCCUAUGGAAUGGAAGCAAUGGGCUACAUUUUCUAAGCUARAACAUACGGAAAGGGAUAUGAAACUGUCCCUGGAAGGCGGAUUUAGCAGUAAAGAGGGACAAUUGAGCCCUCUUUAAGCCGGCUCUGGAGCACGU